GUGUAUGUAUCUACUUUCUUUUCUAGAUUGGAAUCCGACUAAAUUGCCCAUGGCCUGAGUUGAGGAGGUAUGGGUCUCAAAAGUAGCUACUUUCUUUUCUCCAAGAGAAAUAUGAACCUGUUCAUGCAAAGUGGACAACAGAACGAUGUGCUAUAUGUAGAUGGGUUGAGGAUUGGGACUAUAACAAUAUUGUAAUUUGCAACAGUUACGAUAUCCUUUAAAUCAUUCAAGAGGAUAAAGGUUCAGGAUUAUGGGGGGUCAAUAAAGAGGUGGUCCCUAAGAAGAAAAAUAUUAACGAUGCAGGAAGCCAACUUGCCCC